AAAAUAUGCUAUCUUGUUAACCUGGAAAUCUUAAUCUUAGCAUCACUUGAUAUAAUCCAUUCAGGAACUCCAACCAACCAAACAUCACUUGAUAUAAUCCAUUCAGGAACUCCAACUAAUCAAGCAUCACUUGAUAUGAUCCAUUCAGGAACUCCAACCAACCAAACAUCACUUGAUAUAAUCCAUUCAGGAACUCAAAGAAAAUUUAAAAUAUGCUAUCUUGUUAACCUGGAAAUUUUAUUCUUAGCAUCAUUUAUAAUCUAUUCAGGAACUCCA